rnacentral:rRNA from 1 species
GACGAGGGAUCUAGCGUUGUUCGGAAUCAUUGGGCGUAAAGAGUAUGUAGGCGGCCUUGUAAGUCAGUUGUGAAAGCCCCGGGCUCAACCCGGGAAGUGCAAUUGAUACUGCUUGGCUUGAAUGUGGAAGAGGGCAGUAGAAUUCCUGGUGUAGUGGUGAAAUACGUAGAUAUCAGGAGGAAUACCGGUGGCGAAGGCGGCUGCCUGGUCCUACAUUGACGCUGAGAUACGAAAGCGUGGGAGCAACAGG